rnacentral:rRNA from 1 species
CGGAAUUACUGGGCGUAAAGGGCGCGUAGGCGGCCAUCUAAGUCAGACGGGAAAUCCCCCGGCUUAACCUGGGAACUGCGUCUGAUACUGGACGGCUCGAGUAUGGGAGAGGGAUGUAGAAUUCCAGGUGUAGCGGUGAAAUGCGUAGAUAUCUGGAGGAAUACCGGUGGCGAAGGCGGCAUCCUGGACCAUUUACUGACGCUGAGGCGCGAAAGCUAGGGGAGCAAACGGG